GACGAACGCUGGCGGCGUGCUUAACACAUGCAAGUCGAACGGAAAGGCCCUGCUUUUUUGCGGUGCUCGAGGGGCGAACGGGUGAGUAACACGUGAGUAACCUGCCCCUGACUUUGGGAUAACUUCAGGAAACUGGGGCUAAUACCGGAUAGGAGCUCCUGCUGCAUGGUGGGGGUUGGAUAGUUUCGGCGGUUGGGGAUGGACUGGCGGCUUAUCAGCUUGUUGGUGGGGUAGUGGCAUAGCAAGGCUUUGACGGGUGGCCGGCCUGAGCGGGUGAGCGGACACAUUAGGCCUGAGAUACGGCCCAGACUCCUACGGGACGCAGCAGUGGGGAAUAUUGCACAAUGGGCGGAAGCAUGAUGCAGCAAAGCAGCGUGCGGGAUGACGGCCUUCGGGUUGUAAACCGCUUCCGCCUGUGACGAAGCGUGAGUGACGGUAAUGGGUAAAGAAGCACCGGCUAACUACGUG
rnacentral:rRNA from 1 species